rnacentral:rRNA from 1 species
GACGAACGCUGGCGGCGUGCUUAACACAUGCAAGUCGAACGGAAAGGCCCUGCUUUUGUGGGGUGCUCGAGUUGCGAACGGGUGAGUAACACGUGUGUCACCUGCCCUUGACUUUGGGAUCACUUCAGGAAACUGGGGCUACUACCGGAUAGGCGCUCCUGCUGCGUGGUGGGGUUUGGAUAGUUUCGGCGGUUGGGGAUGGACUCGCGGCUUAUCCGCUUGUUGUUGGGGUAGUGGCUUACCAAGGCUUUGACGGGUAGCCGGCCUGAGAGGGUGACCGGCCACACUGGGACUGCGAUACGGCCCAGACGCCGACGGGAGGCAGCAGUGGGGAAUAUUGCACAAUGGGCGGAAGCCUGAUGCAGCAACGCCGCGUGCGGGAUGACGGCCUUCGGGUUGUAAACCGCUUUCGCCUGUGACGAAGCGUGAGUGACGGUAAUGGGUAAAGAAGCACCGGCUAACUACGUG